GUGAAUCAUCAAAUUUUUGAACGCAAAUUGCACUCUCUGGUAUUCCGGAGAGUAUGCCUGUUUGAGGGUAAUUAAAAAAAAUCUGUAACCAAUGUUUUUUGGUCAAAGGAUAUGAGCUCUCCGCGUUUAUAGCGGUAGCUUCAAAUAAAUGGUCAAGUCUCGUGUUAGUCGAUCCUCUUAGUAAUAUGAUUUCGCG
rnacentral:misc_RNA from 1 species